rnacentral:lncRNA from 1 species
CGAUUCACAUUAUAUACGAAAUUAACUUCAGCAAAACAACAACUCUUAAGUUUGCGCUAAGGUACACAACACGACUUCUUUAUAAUUCAACUUUUUAAAUCUAAAAAUUACAUAGCUUAUUAUAUACUUAGUCAUAUAUCAAACAAAGAACAGACAAUUGCAAUUACACAAAACGUAACUUAAGUUGGUCAUUCGUUCAAGCGUUAAUUACAAAUCCUCUUUGCUAUCGGCUAACGGUUCUUUGUGAAGCAGAGCUUUCCUUCCUCUCUAAGUAAUAUGCAUGCACUGCUAAAUGUCGAAAGUUACCAGUAUGCUAUUUUGUUUUAAAAAUAAUUGCACCGCGUAUUUCAUAUCAACCUGCGGGGAGUACUGAUCCAUUGCGUUUAUCAAUUUAAAACAGAUUUUAACAGUUUGUUUAUUUGUUUUGUUGUAACACUACUUUCCGAUGUUAGAGAAGGCUUAGACGUUAAACGAACAUAUUUAACUCCGCCACAUUUUCUGUGUGCUUGUCCCAAGUCAAAUUUAGUGGUUGUUGUUGGUUCAUGUUUGUCAUAUUUGUUUGGUUCGUUUGUGUUUGUAUUUCUCAUGUUGACCAGAAGGUAUUCGUUUUCUCGUUGGGCGUGAUUAUGUUUGAUUAUGUUUGAAUUUAUACCUCCGGUGGUGUCCAUGCAGUUUAUUAGAUGUGAUAAACAACAAUGUAUACAAAUGAAUGACUUUUUUUAAUGUACGUGGUACACAAUACAGUAUUAAUUUAUCAAAUUAAUGCAUUGGUUUCAUUUGAAACAUUUUAAUCCUUAAAUUUUGUUUAUUCAACCCAUAAAACCUGGGUUGUUUUCUCGAAAGUAUC